rnacentral:rRNA from 1 species
GACGAACGCUGGCGGCGUGCUUAACACAUGCAAGUCGAACGGAAAGGCCCUGCUUUUGCUUGUUGCUCGAUUGGCGAACGCGUGAGUAACACAUGAGUAACCUGCCCUUGUCUUUGUGAUAUCUUCAGGAAACUCGGUCUAAUACACGAUAUGAGCUCCUGCUGCAUGGUGUGGGUUAGAAAGUGUCGGCGGUGCGGGAUGGACUGGCGGCUUAUCAGCUUGUUUGUGGGGUUGUUGCUUACCAGGGGUUUGACGGAUAGCCGGCCUGAGAGGGUGACCGGCCACAUUGGUACUGAGAGACGGCCCAGACGCCUACGGGAGGCAGCAGUGGGGAAUAUUGCACAAUGGGCGGAAGCCUGAUGCAGCAACGCCGCGUGCGGGAUGACGGCUUUCGGGUUGUAAACCGCUUUCGCCUGUGACGAAGCGUGAGUGACGGUAAUGGGUAAAGAAGCACCGGCUAACUACGUG